rnacentral:rRNA from 1 species
GACGAACGCUGGCGGCGUGCUUAACACAUGCAAGUCGAACGAAGUGGCGAACGGGUGAGUAACACGUGGGUGACCUGCCCUGCACUUCGGGAUAAGCCUGGGACACUGGGUCUAAUACCGGAUAGUGUGGGAUGGGCCCGCGGCCUGUCAGCUUGUGGGUGGGGUAAUGGCCUACCAAGGCGGCGACGGGUAGCCGGCCUGAGAGGGUGGACGGCCAAAUUGGGACUGAGACACGGCACAGACUACUACGGGAGGCAGCAGUGGGGAAUAGUGCACAAGGGGCGGAAGCCUGAUGCAGCGACGCCGCGGGGGGGAUGACGGCCUUCGGGUUGUAAACUCCUUUCACCAUCGACGCGGUAGAUGGAGAAGAAGCACCGGCUAACUACGUGCCAGCAGCCGCGGUAAUAC